AGAGUUUGAUCCUGGCUCAGGAUGAACGCUAGCUACAGGCUUAACACAUGCAAGUCGAGGGGCAGCAUGUUGGUUGCUUGCAACCAACGAUGGCGACCGGCGCACGGGUGAGUAACGCGUAUCCAACCUACCCUUGUCCAUCGGAUAACCCGUCGAAAGGCGGCCUAACACGAUAUGCGGUUCACGGCAGGCAUCUAAGGUGAACGAAAUGUGAAGGAGAAGGAUGGGGAGUGCGUCUGAUUAGCUUGUUGGCGGGGUAACGGCCACCAAGGCUACGAUCAGUAGGGGUUCUGAGAGGAAGGUCCCCCACAUUGGAACUGACGACACGGUCCCAAACUCCUACGGGAGGCA
rnacentral:rRNA from 1 species